GAGGAAUAUUGGUCAAUGGGCGGGAGCCUGAACCAGCCAAGUCGCGUGAGGGAAGACGGUCCUACGGAUUGUAAACCUCUUUUGCCGGGGAGCAACGGGCGCCACGUGUGGUGCUGUGAGCGUACCCGGAGAAAAAGCAUCGGCUAACUCCGUGCCAGCAGCCGCGGUAAUACGGAGGAUGCGAGCGUUAUCCGGAUUUAUUGGGUUUAAAGGGUGCGUAGGCGGCGCCCCAAGUCAGCGGUAAAAAUGCGGUGCUCAACGCCGUACAGCCGUUGAAACUGGGGGGCUCGAGUGCGCCAGGAGCAUGCGGAAUGCGCAGUGUAGCGGUGAAAUGCAUAGAUACUGCGCAGAACUCCGAUCGCGAAGGCAGCAUGCUAUGGCGGGACUGACGCUGAGGCACGAAAGCGUGGGGAUCGAAC
rnacentral:rRNA from 1 species